rnacentral:sRNA from 1 species
UGAAUGUGUCUCUCUAUGUAAGCGUAGGGUUGCUGCGGAAGUCGUUUGUUGGAUUCGUGGUGUCGUUUUUGGAUGUCGGGAAGCCGGGGUUGUUGCGGUGGAUUUUGCAGUAGAGAGAGAUGUAUUCUGGCGUUCUCGUUGUGGAGUUGUUGGUCCCUCGGGGCUUCGGAGUGUGUUGUUUGGGAGUGCCACGUUGGAGUAAUUGGUUGAGGUUUGUGGAAGGGAGAGUGGUGGUGAUGCUGCUGAGGUUGUGUUUUGGGUGCUUGUUAGGGUUUGUACUGAUCUGUGCAAUGGUUUGAUGCCAGAUUCGAAAAUGCGGUUGAGGGGCAAUAUUAAGAGGGUAUUGGACCUCAUAAAGAAGUUGCGUGACGGAGGUUCAACAUCAUAGGGACUUGCUUUUGGCUAUUGUUGAGGCCAAGGGUUCUUUUGGGUUGUUGUAUUUGAAGGAGUUUCCUUACAACAUUGAAAAUUUCAAGUCUUCUUCAUGUAUCUGUGGCAGCUCAGUUGGUUUCGUUGGUUGGUAAUGGCAUUUCUAAGGAAUAUGCAAAUUUACAAUCAAAUAGUCCAGGGCUAUUGUUAGAUAAUAUGGAUUUAUACAGUAUUGUGAAGUGUUUAUUUCCUCGUCCAUUCAGCAGGCCUGUGUUUAAUAAGGGAUUGCCUCACACCGAACCUUAUGUUAAACAUGGUACUCUAAGGCUUCUUCUAGAGUUACUAAAAUUGCUAGACUCUCUUUUUAGUGGUUUGAAUCAUAAUUCUUGUUCCAACAAUCCAGUCACGUAG